rnacentral:lncRNA from 1 species
CUUUUAGUUUUCACUCUCUAACUUAAGUAAAAGUGAAUAGAAAUCUAUGAAAUUUUAACACAAGGUUUAUGACCACAAAAGGAAGGUUGGGAUUGAUUUUGGGAGUUUCGGUCCCAACAGUUUAUACAAUACAAUACAAUAUUUUUAUUUUCCAAAUUAAAGGGCCCAUUAAGAGCAUAACAUUAAUUACAACAUGACAUAAACAUUACAGAGUGAUUAAAGAAACAUAAAAUAAUAAAAUAAUAAUUCAAAUGCAUGAGGAAAGAAUCAGUGGUCAAGGGGAGAUAAUUUUGAUAUGUUUUAGAGUAUUUAAGUUAACUAAUUUUCUGAUUUUCUAAGUUGCAGGCCUUUAUCGAGGUAUGCACAUAAAAUUGAUAAAAAUCUGCUAUCUUCAUUAAUCAUGAUCCAUGAAAAAAGAUCUUUUCUGUUUAAAUUAUCUAAACUGGGGUAUUUUUUUAUAUAAUCAGUCACAUCUCUUCUGAGGUUAUUGUAAAGAGGGCAUUCCAGAAGAAAGUGUAUUUCAUUUUCAAUACAAUUUGAAUUACAAUAUAAACAUAUCCUCUCAUGUCGAGGUAAUAUUUCAUAUUUACCACAUACAUUGGUAAUUCGUUCAUGUCUGCCAGUUUCUAUUCUUAAACAGUGAUUGCUGAGUCUGUAUUUUGUUAACAAAUGUUUUUGUGGGUGUUUUAAAUCUAAAUAAUUUUCGUAGUCAAAUGACCUUUUGAAUGAAAAAUAAGUGUCCAAUUAGCCUUGAUUCUGUAAAUAAAAAUCUCGCAUUUUUUCCCAAUUGUUUUGAAAAUUUAAUAUGAGCUGUUUUUUCAGUAAACUUUUAAAUUUAUUUUUGCCUAAAUUUUUACAUAUAUUUAGGUCAAUACCCAAUUUUUCACUGUAAAAAGUUUAGGAAUAAGGGGCCAAAAAGGGCCCAAAUAAGCAUUUUCUUGGUUUUCGCACUAUAACUUUAGUUUAAGUAAAUAGAAAUCUAUGAAAUUUUGACACAAGGUUUAUGACCACAAAAGGAAGGUUGGGAUUGAUUUUGGGAGUUUUGGUCCCAACAGUUUAGGAAUUAGGGGCCAAAAAAGGGCCCAAAUAAGCAUUAUUCUUGGUUUUCGCACAAUAACUUUAGUAUAAGUAAAUAGAAAUCAAUGAAAUUUAAACACAAGGUUUAUGACCACAAAAGGAAGGUUGGGAUUGAUUUUGGGAGUUGAGGUCCCAACAGUUUAGGAAUUAGGGGCCCAAAAGGGGCCCAAAUAAGCAUUAUUCUUGGUUUUCGCACCAUAACUUUAGUAUAAAGAAAAAGAAAUCUAUGAAAUUUAAACACAAGGUUUAUGACCAGAAAAGGAAGGUUGGGUUUGAUUUUGGGAGUUUUGGUCCCAACAGUUUAGGAAUAAGAGGCC